rnacentral:rRNA from 1 species
UACGUAGGGUGCGAGCGUUAAUCGGAAUUACUGGGCGUAAAGCGCACGUAGGCGGAUUUGUAAGUCAGGGGUGAAAUCCCGGGGCUCAACCUCGGAACUGCCUUUGAUACUGCAAAUCUCGAGUCCGGAAGAGGUGAGUGGAAUUCCUAGUGUAGAGGUGAAAAUUCGUAGAUAUUAGGAAGAACACCAGUGGCGAAGGCGGCUCACUGGUCCGGUACUGACGCUGAGGUGCGAAAGCGUGGGGAGCAAACGGG